rnacentral:rRNA from 1 species
UACGGGGGGGAGCAAGCGUUGUUCGGAUUUACUGGGCGUAAAGGGCGCGUAGGCGGCCACCGCAAGUCGGUUGUGAAAUCUCCGGGCUUAACCCGGAAAGGUCAAUCGAUACUGCGGGGCUAGAGUGCAGAAGGGGCAACUGGAAUUCUCGGUGUAGCGGUGAAAUGCGCAGAUAUCAGGAGGAACACCGAUGGCGAAGGCAGGUCUCUGGGCAUUAACUGACGCUGAGGAGCGAAAGCAUGGGGAGCGAACAGG